CCUACGGGUGGCAGCAGUGAGGAAUAUUGGUCAAUGGACGCAAGUCUGAACCAGCCAUGCCGCGUGCAGGAUGACGGCUCUAUGAGUUGUAAACUUCUUUUGUACGAGGGUAAACGCAGAUACGUGUGUCUUUCUGCAAGUACUUUACGAAUAAGGAUCGGCUAACUCCGUGCCAGCAGCCGCGGUAAUACGGAGGAUUCAAGCGUUAUCCGGAUUUAUUGGGUUUAAAGGGUGCGUAGACGGGGUGUUAAGUUAGAUGUGAAAGUCCGCGGCUCAACUGUAGAAUUGCAUUUGAUACUGGCAGGCUAGAGAACAGUUGAGGUAGGCGGAAUGCAUGGUGUAGCGGUGAAAUGCUUAGAGAUCACAAAGAACACCGAUUGCGAAGGCAGCUUACCAAGCUACGUCUGACGUUGAGGCACGAAAGCGUGGGGAGCAAACAGGAUUAGAUACCCUGGUAGUC
rnacentral:rRNA from 1 species